UCCGGUGACGGAUGGGCAUGCGUGACAUUAGCUAGUCGGCGGGGUAACGGCCCACCGAGGCGACGAUGUCUAGGGGUUCUGAGAGGAAGGUCCCCACACUGGUACUGAGACACGGACCAGACUCAUACGGGAGGCAGCAGUGAGGAAUAUUGGUCAAUGGGCUUACGCCUGAACCAGCCAAGUCGCGUGAGGGAAGACUGCCCUAUGGGUUAUAAACCUCUUUUGUCAGGGAGCAACGCCGGCUACGUGUAGCCGGACUGAGAGUACCUGAAGAAAAAGCAUCGGCUAACUCCGUGCCAGCAGCCGCGGUAAUACGGAGGAUGCGAGCGUUAUCCGGAUUUAUUGGGUUUAAAGGGUGCGUAGGCGGAAUGCCAAGUCAGCGGUAAAAUCGCGGGGCUCAACCUCGCUCCGCAUUUGAAACUGUUGAUCUUGAGUACUGGAGAGGCAGACGGAAUUCCUAGUGUAGCGGUGAAAUGCGUAGAUAUUAGGAGGAACACCAGUGGCGAAGGCGGUCUGCUGGACAGCAACUGACGGUGAGGCGCGAAAGCGUGGGGAGCAAACAGGAUUAGAUACCCUGGUAGUCCACGCUGUAAACGAUGGAUACUAG
rnacentral:rRNA from 1 species